ensembl:lncRNA
UCCCCGUCUACGUGCCAUGCGGUAGUGGUUAGCUUGUACCAGGCACUGGCGAAACACACCCCAGUGCUCUCCAGAGGUGGACACUGAGGCUCAGAGAGGGUGGGUGAUGACCUGAGGCUCACUCAGCAGUAAGUAUCCAAAUGGGUGCUGCCUGCAUCCACGUCUUCCCCCUUCAUCUUCACCCACAAACCUCACAGCCUCCAGAAGAAAUGCCCUGGAUGCGAGCUGAGAAACCUGGACUCGGUGUCCAGCUCCAUCUCCUGGUAGCUUUGUCAUUUGGGGCCCAUUCUGAACCUCUCUGAGCCUCAGUGUUUUCACUUGGAAGAUGAGGGGAAGGUGUGAUAAGCUCACCUUGCUGAUAUUUGCUGGGUGAACUUGGAGACGAGGGGAUUGCACCUUGGUGGAACCACGGGCAUCUCCUCAGGCGUUUGUUGAAUGCCUGCAGCCUGCUCUUGGACAUAAACUGAUAAUUUCCUGAGUUUCCCUGAUGAUGUCACUCAUAAACCUGCAUGGACUCCCAAUGCCCGAGGGGAGAGUGAGAACUGGGAAGGGAGUGUCAUGGCACUAAGACGCUGAGGGUUGAGUGCACUGGACGACGGCCUUUCCUUGGAGCUGGAUCCACUUGGAACCCUGGACUGUGCGUCUCCAUGGGCACCCUCAUGGCUUUCUGAGGAGCUGUUUACUCCACACCUAGGAUGUGUCAUUCACAUGAGACUCUGGGGACUCAGAGAGGCCAGAGGAGGAGACUGUCUCCUGGCUGCACAGAUACAGCUCGGAGGAGGUUUGCAUCCCUGGUAACCCUUCACAGGACCUGCUGCGGGGAGCUGAGUGGUUUAUACCUGGUAGCCUGCGCCAAGAGGCAGCGUUUAAGGGGCCGAUGACUCAUCCAGAACCAGCCUCCAUUUUUCGUGUGGAGGAGAGCCUUGAUGGGCGCUGGAGGCUAAUUGCACAGCGCUGGGAGCGAUGCGGCUGCUGUAAUUCCUGUCACCUCUAACGACGCAGUGGGAGCUUCCGGGGGAUCAUGCCAGGCGUUCGGGGGCCAUCUGCAUUCUUGCCUAAUAAGUUGUCUCCAGUUGCGGAGAAAGUUGCUAUUAAAGACCUGAUGGGAAGCAGCAACUCAGAACAGCCCAGCUCAUCUCAGGACGAGACUGUCUUUCCUAACAGUUUCCGGGAACGACAUCGCCACCGGGUCUGGAUAUUCCAGCUUUUGGGGGUGUGGGGGGGAGUCUCCCUGUGGCCCUCUCCUGGGAACCUGGGGGCUGGCCUGCGUUCACCCCUUUACUUAGGAAGUGUAACCCUCAGAGAUCGGAAGAAACCUGGGAAUAAGACAAUUCAAUAAAGUCACAAUAAAACAUCC